rnacentral:misc_RNA from 1 species
GAUGAAGAACGUAGUGAAAUGCGAUAAGUAGUGUGAAUUGCAGAAUUCAGUGAAUCAUCGAAUCUUUGAACGCACAUUGCGCCCUUUGGUAUUCCUUAGGGCAUGCCUGUUCGAGCGUCAUUUAAACCUUCAAGCUAAGCUUGGUGUUGGGUGACUGUCCGCUUCACGGCGGACUCGCCUCAAAAUUAUUGGCGGCCGGUACAUUGGCUUCGAGCGCAGCAGAAACGCGAACUCGGGCCCGUCGUAUUGGCUCCCAGAAGCUAUCUUCACAAUUUUGACCUCGGAUCAGGUAGGGAUACCCGCUGAACUUAAGCAUAUCAAUAAGCGGAGG